GACGAACGCUGGCAGCGUGCUUAACACAUGCAAGUCGAACGAGUGGCGAACGGGUGAGUAACACGUGGGUUACCUGCCCUGCACUUCAGGAUAAGCCUGGGAAACUGGGUCUAAUACCGGAUAGUGUGGGAUCGGCCCGCGGCCUAUCCGCUUGUUGGUGGGGUAAUGGUUACCAAGGCGCGACUGGUAUCCGGCCUGAGAGGGUGGACGGCCACAUUGGGACUGAGACAAGUCCCAGACUCCUACGGGAGGCAGCAGUGGGGAAUAUUGCACAAUGGGCGAAAGCCUGAUGUAGCCAUGCCGCGUGUCUGAAGAAGGCCGUCGGUUUGUAAAGGACUUUUGUUAGGGAGACGGUACCUAAAGAAUAAGGAACGGCUAACUACGUGCCAGCAGCAGCGGGAAUUC
rnacentral:rRNA from 1 species